CGCUUUUUAUCUGUCCUCAGAGAGAGCUUUCUGCCUCUGCCUGUGGAUGUCAGAGCGGUCUGCGCUGGCGAGGAGGAAGACCGGGGGCAGCAGCAAGCCGGCAAGACCGCGUCUUCUUCUCCCCAGCUCUAGGAGCCCCGAGAAAGCGAGGACCUUCCCCCCUAAAACACACACGGCACGCAAGAUAUUUGCUAUCAAGCUGCCACCAUUUGGUAAAAAGCUCUAUGCCGUGCAUAAUCUAAAGGGAUCAGGAGCCGCAUCCUCGAAUCAUCUUGUCACUUUCUACUGAAAUGGGAUUUUUUUUUUUUUUUUUCCUCCUGACAUCGCUCUGGAAAUUGCCGAUGGCUUUACAUCUUCAUAGAGGCUAAAGAGCCUUUCGUGAGAACGAAGCGAUUUACAAUGCAAAUAGAGGCCUGUGAAGGGAUGGAUGCUUCUCACUCUUAACGCAGCUUGACGCACCUUAAUAGCUGGUUUUAUUUUCUGGUAUUAACAGACGAAUUGUUGGCUACCGCUGCCGGAAAUUACUGGCUGAAAGAAAAAGUUCGGAAUAAACUUUGAAGGCAACAGAUCUCUUUCGGAUGUUAUUAGCUGCACAUACACACAGACACACAAACCAGGUCACAAUUGCAUAAAAGGAUGAAUAUUUUAAAGCAGCACUGGUACUCUUGGAGGAAACAACACGCCUGUUUGUCAGAAAGAAUCUGGAUUCUAGCAAGGAAAAAAAAAAAAAAAAGCUUUGAGGGAAGCGAGUUGUUAUCUUUG